UGCCAGCAGCCGCGGUAAUACGGAGGGUGCAAGCGUUGUUCGGAAUUAUUGGGCGUAAAGCGCGUGUAGGCGGAGUGGCAGGUCUUCUGUGAAAUCCCUCGUCUCAAACGAGGAAUUGCAGGGGAAACCUUCAUUCUUGAGGCAGGUAGAGGCGAGUGGAACGUGUGGUGGAGCGGUGAAAUGCGUAGAUAUCACACGGAACGUCGGUGGUGAAAACGACUCGCUGGGCCUGACCUGACGCUGAGACGCGAAAGCGUGGGGAGCAAACAGGAUUAGAUA
rnacentral:rRNA from 1 species